GAUGGGAAACAGGUUAAUAUUCCUGUACUUGGUGUUACUGCGAAGGGGGGACGGAGAAGGCUAGGCUAGCCGGGCGACGGUUGUCCCGGUUUAAGCGUGUAGGGGGUGUGACCUGGUAAAUCCGGUUACAUAUCAACCCUGAGGCGUGAUGACGAUGCACUACGGUGCAGAAGUAGUUGAUGCCCUGCUUCCAGGAAAAGCCUCUAAGCUCUAGGUAACAUUAAAUCGUACCCCAAACCGACACAGGUGGUCAGGUAGAGAAUACCAAGGCGCUUGAGAGAACUCGGGUGAAGGAACUAGGCAAAAUGGUGCCGUAACUUCGGGAGAAGGCACGCUGGCAUGUAGGUGAA
rnacentral:rRNA from 2 species